UAGCGUAUAUUAAAGUUGUUGCAGUUAAAAAGCUCGUAGUCGGAUUUCGGGGCGGGGCGACCGGUCUGCCGAUGGGUAUGCACUGGUCGGCGCGUCCUUCCUUCCGGAGACCGUGCCUACUCUUAACUGAGCGGGGGCGGGAGACGGAUCGUUUACUUUGAAAAAAUCAGAGUGUUUCAAGCAGGCGUCUCGCCUUUGCAUGGAUUAGCAUGGGAUAAUGAAAUAGGACUUUGGUGCUAUUUUGUUGGUUUCGAACACCGAAGUAAUGAUUAACAGGGACAGUCAGGGGCACUCGUAUUCCGUCGAGAGAGGUGAAAUUCUCAGACCAAUGGAAGACGAACAACUGCGAAAGCAUUUG
rnacentral:rRNA from 1 species